rnacentral:rRNA from 1 species
GAUGAACGCUGGCGGCGUGCCUAAUACAUGCAAGUCGAGCGAACAGACGAGGAGCUUGCUCCUCUGACGUUAGCGGCGGACGGGUGAGUAACACGUGGAUAACCUACCUAUAAGACUGGGAUAACUUCGGGAAACCGGAGCUAAUACCGGAUAAUAUAUUGAACCGCAUGGUUCAAUAGUGAAAGACGGUGUUGCUGUCACUUAUAGAUGGAUCCGCGCCGCAUUAGCUAGUUGGUAAGGUAACGGCUUACCAAGGCAACGAUGCGUAGCCGACCUGAGAGGGUGGUCGGCCACACUGGAACUGAGACACGGUCCAGACUCCUACGGGAGGCAGCAGUAGGGAAUCUUCCGCAAUGGGCGAAAGCCUGACGGAGCAACGCCGCGUGAGUGAUGAAGGUCUUCGGAUCGUAAAACUCUGUUAUUAGGGAAGAACAAAUGUGUAAGUAACUAUGCACGUCUUGACGGUACCUAAUCAGAAAGCCACGGCUAACUACGUG